rnacentral:misc_RNA from 1 species
UUUCCGUAGGUGAACCUGCGGAAGGAUCAUUACAGAGUUCAUGCCCUCACGGGUAGAUCUCCCACCCUUGAAUAUUUAUACCUUAGUUGCUUUGGCAGGCCGUGGAAACACCAUGGGCUCCGGCUUAUGCGUGCCUGCCAGAGGAAACAAACUCUGUUUUUAGUGAUGUCUGAGUACUAUAUAAUAGUUAAAACUUUCAACAACGGAUCUCUUGGUUCUGGCCUCGAUGAAGAACGCAGC